AGCACAUCAUACAAGUAGCUUACCUGAGAAUAUGGAAACACACAAAACCCCAAUCCAGAGGACCCACUUUUAAUGUAAUCUACCUUCGCUUGUGCAGCUAGCUGAUAGCAGCCGUUGCACAUAUGAGGAUUAGUCACAGAAAAAGGGAUCAAGUUGAGGCCAUGACAAUUCAAUUGGUUGUGCUAAUGACUCCAAAUCUGCAGGCAAAAUGCAACUCAUUGGACACGCGGUGCCCGAAAUCUCAAGGGGUCCAUUAACCUAGAGUGUUCACAAUGACCAUUAUGGAUUGGAAUAGCAAUUUCAUCGCUUAAAAGCCUUUCGGAAGAGAGGGGAAAGACCAGUCACAUGCCCCUGAUGACCUCCAUGAAUAAGAGAGUGAUUAAAGUUUGUUGGAUCUGUCCUGAUGAGACCAGAGGAGAAGAAUAUGAAGUAAGAAGAAGAAUUGACAUGGAAGUGAUUUGAGCCUGGCCUUAGAUAAAACAGAGCCGUUGGCAAAUGUACUUGUGAAGUCAUUAUUGACUACUUCAUGUUUGUAAUCUCCAAAUAUUGGUCUAUUACAUGAGAAUAGCUUUGUUAGAGAGAUAAGAAUCAAAUUAAGCAUGGGCCAUUGGAUAAAUGUGAUGCACAGAAAAACUCAGACCCAGCAGGGCUCUGCUGCAGGUUCUCUUAAAAUACUUUCUGCUGCCACUGCAGCAUUUAUCAUAAUUUCCACCUAGAAUACUGGGCUAAAAAAUGUCAUGCUAGUUGGAAACUGGAGAGAGAAGCUGAAAUAAAUCGCUGAUACUCUAGAAAUGUAUAUGGCAUUUAGAAUUGUUGAGAAACUGCCCCAUGAGCUCAGACUAAUACAAAAUACAGUAGGCCCAUGUGUCUUAUUUUUAUCAUUAUUGUUUCUGUAGUGGUUGGAUGUUAAAAUCCUUAAAAAGCAAACAUUUGCUAUCUGUUACCAUGAAUGGAGAUCUCUGCUAAGUAAUAAAAAAGAAGAGUGCAAUAUUAGAAGACUAUGCCGUGCAAUUGUUAACUAAAGUAUGGCUACUUAAUUUCAAAUAGUAUAAAAUAAUAUUUAAUAUUAUUGGUGCACCAUAACAGUAUUUGCAAUAAAUUUAAAAAGAUAUGUGCAAACUAUGUAUUUUUAAGACAGCUACCAUAUUUUGAGAUACGGUUCUGCAGAUAACCAAGUUCUGCAGGAUAACCAGCUACGGACACACUUGCACACUUUAGCUUGCUGUUUUAACUGAGAAUGAGAACCUUGCUCAGGGCUGAUGCCUGGUUUUGGAGGGCCCAGGGGCAAAGCUCUCUAUUGGCCCCUCCACUGGGCCCUGGUAGGCAGGGGUCGGGACAAAUACUUCUGCUCCCAGCACUACCAUGGCUAGAAUGGCAACACCAUUUUUAGACUUCCCAGAUUGUGCCGUGGCUAUGUCAGGGGGUUGGAGCCUAAAACGAUGGUGCUUCUAUGCCAGCCACGUGGACAGUGGGGCUGAAAGUAGGGGUGAGCAUCCACUGCUGCCCAGUAAGCUUUCCACGGCCUGCCUGGCAGGCUAACUAAGUGAGAGAGAAAGAGAGUACCUAACUAGGUACUCUCAGCACUGCUGGACUGGCAGCACCAUAUGCCCUGGCCCCCUGACAUAGUUGGCCUCCACUCCAACCACAGCAGCACCCAGAAGCAAUGUUUCGAGGCAGGGACCCAGUGGCAGGUGGAGUGGGGCAGACAUCAGCCACAGUGAGCAAAGUGUCGGAAAAGGACUAUGGGGCAAGGAAGUGAAACAGGAGUACCCCUAGCAGCUGGGCAACAUUAGAAGGGAGGAGGUCUCAAACAGCUCUUGCAGUAAAAAAAAGAGACUCAUUAUUUCUUGCCAUGCUAUUUGAUUGCCUCUCUCUUAAUGUCUGCACAAGAUACCCAUGAGUAUGCUGUACCUGGACAAUGCCUGGAAAUGUAGCCAGAAGUCACCCACUCUCAUUUAUACAGUUAAUUCUAAUCCUUCUUAUUGUAAUUGUAAGGAAAGACUGUGAGAAGCCAUUAGACUGCUCUCUUCCAUUACAGUGCACUUGACAUAGCAACAUUGGGUCAUACAUGAAAGAUUGCUAAAUGUCAUAUUCAUUCUUCAGAAAAUAACUAAAAACCCUGUAUGCGUGGGAUUUAGUGAUUCCAGAUAAAUUAAAAUAAAUGAAAUAAAAGCCUCAAUGUAUCCAAAAUAUAAAUGUUUGUGAAACACUGGAUGCCAUUUCUAAAUUAUGUCGAUCACUUUAGGAGAAAGUAAAUUAGACCAGAAAGCCUAAAAACCAGAAACCCCUGCUAACUUGGCAAGGAGGCAACUUUAAAUGUGGUGAUUCUCUUUAUUUAGCCAGGGGGAGAGUAACUGGCCCUAUCCACCCCCCAGCACAGUACUUCCAGUGACUAUUGCUGGUGACUGUCUUAUCUUUCUUUUUCGAUUGUGAGCCCUUUGGGGACAGGGAGCCAUCUUAUUCAUUCAUUCAUUCAUUCAUUCAUUCAUUCUCUGUGUAAACCACCCUGAGCCAUUUUUGGAAGGGCGGUAUAAAAAUCGAAUAUAUGAAUAAUAAUAAAUAAAAGUAAUUUUUAUAAUAUUUUAAGGAUUAUAUAUUAUAAAGAAUUGUAAGUUAUACUUUGUAUUUCAUUUGAAUUGUAUUUGUUAGGAUAUUUUUUGCAGUGUGAGAUGUCUAUAUUUAUGUUACAUAAUUAUAAAAGAACAAUUUUAAUAUGUUGAUGAUGAUAAUUUCAUUGGCUGACUUCCUAAUGAACUGAAAGUGCUGUGCAAGAAGUGCCGGUGCUGGUUAUCCAACUAACACAACACUGGCAUGCACAUGGUACUUAUUUGUUUUUAACUGUAAUGUAUUACAUUGAAAAUAUAAAAUAAAAAGUUUAGAGAAAUGAGAUGAAAUAGAUGCAACACAGAAAAUGUGUGAUCAGAUCUUCUGGCUUCUUUUCUAAAACAUAAAAGCAAUUGUAUAGGGUGUUCAAUUUCAGUGGGAGGAGUUCAGUUAGAUAGGGCACUUAGCCCACUUUCCCCCUGUGCUAGUAUUCCAAUAAAAAUGGCAGCCCUUCCCCAAUUAUUA